AUUAUUUCUAUUCGUCUGCCCUUAUUAACUAUCAUUUCGGUUUUUUAUAUUUUCUUGAACAUAAUACAUCAGCAAAUGUAUUGAUUUGAUCUCAAUUGUCAUUAGCUUUAACUACAUUUGGCUUUAGAGGCAUCCGAAAUAUUCACUAAUUUUGCAUUGUAGACUUAGUCCUUUAUUGCAAUAUGGCCAGUUUUUCCUAAGAAAAGUAUGUAUUUCAUGUUUUUCUAUAGGCGUCGACAGUUCGGUAGGCAAUUUCCAGCAAGCGGCUAAUAGUUUUUCCACUGUUCUUAUCGAAUCUGUGUGUCAAGUGACUUAGCCGCACACCUAAAAUAAUGGGCGGCACUAUCAUUUGAUCGCAUUCACGUGACUGCCUUGGGAAGAUGUUUUAUUAAGGUUUUUCAAUUUUCUUUUAGAAAACACUACUCAAGAUGUCGAAAUUAAUCAAACUUGGCGAUGAAGAAAGUGAUGGCCGAUUUGGAUAUGUCCAUAUGGUCUCUGGUCCAGUCGUUACGGCUGAAAAAAUGAGCGGAUCUGCUAUGUACGAAUUAGUCAGAGUAGGAUACAAUGAGCUCGUAGGAGAAAUCAUCCGUUUGGAGGGUGAUAUGGCAACUAUCCAAGUAA
rnacentral:lncRNA from 1 species